rnacentral:lncRNA from 1 species
CAAGGAAUGAGCGUCGAUUGAUACUAUUGACUAGGUAUCGAUCGAUGCUUCCUUAAAUAAGCAUUAACGCUCAGAUCGAUAACGUUCAACAAAAUUUCUAGACUAAUUCUCGUAUGCGCCUACGUAUCUAAUCCAGCAGGAUUCAGGUUCCGUUAAUCGAUUGCACUCUUGUGCCUCUCAAUUGUCCUAUGAUUAUAGGUUCAAAUAAUCAGUCACACUCUCGUGCUUUUCUAGCUACUCUGGAUCCUAGUAUUACAAGCCUUACUGGUGUAAGAUCUAUAGUUAACCUAGCAAUCCUAUAAUUCAAAAGUUCAUUCAAAAUCCUAGAAAAUCCCUAAACCUAGCAGGGGGGUCUACUUAGACAUGAUAGUUGUUAAAGAAAUCAUAGAUGAAUAGAUGCAAUAAAAUAAAUAAUAAAACCAAAACCAAUCGAGUUCCAAAAGGACUCUGAAGGAUUUCCUCUUUUCUCUCCAAC